rnacentral:tRNA from 1 species
GCUCCGAGUGCGACAGGGUUGGCAUUUUCGUUACGAACGGACGGCAGGGCGGACAUGACCGUUCCGGUUUGAAACCGGAUCGGCGCC